rnacentral:tRNA from 1 species
GGAGACUUGCGAGGGCAAUACUUAGAUAUCAGGAUAAGCAUGUAGAUAUCUGCGUGGAAUGUUUUCGGACGCGGGUUCGACUCCCGCCGCCUCCACCA